CUUUCCUCUCCUCUCUGUUCUUCCCCUCAUGCUCGAGCUCAUCCUCCAUUUUUGCAAAAGUUUGUCAAGAUUUGAAGGCACCUCAUCCAUCCAAGUGUUCACAAAGGUGUGGUUUACUUAGUGCCUUCCCGUCCCCGUCAUAACCACUGUCGAUCGCCCGCACUGUCCCGUCGCCGACACCACCUUGUGGCAUGGUUUUGAUAUCGGUCCCCGUCGGCCCU